rnacentral:lncRNA from 1 species
CGGCGAUCCUCCGCCGCCGACGCCGCCACGGAAAGGUUUGAUCCGAUUUUCCUCUGCAAAACAAAAAAAGAAAAAAAAAAGAAAUCGUUUUCCACGCUUUAUUCUGUUUUAUUUCGCAUUGGUCCAUCUCUUGAGGCGAAUGCGAUGUCUGGUCGUUAGGACUAGGGUUUUGGGAUAUUUUAUUCUUUUCAAGAACCGAUUUUUGGAAAAUCCUGUGGACUAUAAUUUUUUUGGAAAUUUUUUUUGGUUUUUUCUCCUUUUGGGGGUCAAAGAACUGCAAUUUGUUUGUUGCUGGAUCGUCUGCUUUUCCGAUCUAUUUAUCUAUUUAUCACGAAAUGCUAAUGUUUAAGAUGGGGUUGGAAUGGUGGGGUAUGGAUGGUUUUCUCAUUGCCAUUGGUGAGCAAUCGGACAAAAAUGGAUCUUUAAUUUGUACACAUUUCAGGGAAGAUUCAAAAUAUAGGCGCCUGAUAGGUUGGGAGUUUUCUGUCAGAUGCUUUGCAACUAGGGUU